rfam:Psychromonas ingrahamii 37, complete genome.
CUACGAACCCCCCGUCCAUUUUUCUUGUGCUGAACGACUGUUUUAGCAAGGGGAAACACGAUGUUUCCAUUAGGCUCGGCACGCACAGGGAUGUGCGAUCCGAGCUGGUGCGUUAAAAACAGGUGGAUAAUAUAAGAUCAAAAAAUGGCCUGGGCGGCACUCUU